GUGAAUCAUCAAAUUUUUGAACGCAAAUUGCACUUUCUGGUAUUCCGGAAAGUAUGCCUGUUUGAGGGUCAGUUAAAUAAAAAUCGGGGUUGUUUCUGGUUUUCGUGGUGACGCGUCGGAAUUUAGUUGGCUUACCUUUGGGUAAGGGACUUAAAAUUUUGCAUGAUUUUCGAACGUAGUUAAAUAUUUUACUUACGUUUGUGAUAUC
rnacentral:misc_RNA from 1 species